GACGAACGCUGGCGGCGUGCUUAACACAUGCAAGUCGAACGGAAAGGCCCUGCUUUUGUGGGUUGCUCGAGUGGCGAACGGGUGAGUAACACGUGAGUAACCUGCCCUUGACUUUGGGAUAACUUCAGGAAACUGGGGCUAAUACCGGAUAGGAGCUCCUGCUGCAUGGUGGGGGUUGGAAAGUUUCGGCGGUUGGGGAUGGACUCGCGGCUUAUCAGCUUGUUGGUGGGGUAGUGGCUUACCAAGGCUUUGACGGGUAGCCGGCCUGAGAGGGUGACCGGGCACAAUGGGACUGAGAGACGGCCCAGACGCGUACGGGAGGCAGCAGGGGGGAAUAUGGCACAAUGGGCGGAAGCCUGAGGCAGCAACGCCGCGUGCGGGAUGACGGGCUUCGGGUUGUAAACCGAUGUCGCCGGUGACGAAGAGUGAGUGACGGUAAUGGGUAAAGAAGCACCGGCUAACUACGUG
rnacentral:rRNA from 1 species